rnacentral:rRNA from 1 species
AUACGUAGGGGGCGAGCGUUGUCCGGAAUGAUUGGGCGUAAAGGGCGCGUAGGCGGCCCGGUAAGUCUGGAGUGAAAGUCCUGUUUUUAAGAUGGGAAUUGCUUUGGAUACUGUCGGGCUUGAGUGCAGGAGAGGUAAGUGGAAUUCCCAGUGUAGCGGUGAAAUGCGUAGAGAUUGGGAGGAACACCAGUGGCGAAGGCGACUUACUGGACUGUAACUGACGCUGAGGCGCGAAAGUGUGGGGAGCAAACAGGAUUAGAUACCCUGGUAGUCCACACUGUAAACGAUGAAUGCUAGGUCUAGGGGGUAUCGACCCCUUCUGUGCCGCAGUCAACACAAUAAGCAUUCCGCCUGGGGAGUACGGCCGCAAGGUUGAAACUCAAAGGAAUUGACGGGG